rnacentral:rRNA from 1 species
AAAUUGAAGAGUUUGAUCAUGGCUCAGAUUGAACGCUGGCGGCAGGCCUAACACAUGCAAGUCGAACGGUAACAGGAAACAGCUUGCUGUUUCGCUGACGAGUGGCGGACGGGUGAGUAAUGUCUGGGAAACUGCCUGAUGGAGGGGGAUAACUACUGGAAACGGUAGCUAAUACCGCAUAACGUCGCAAGACCAAAGAGGGGGACCUUCGGGCCUCUUGCCAUCGGAUGUGCCCAGAUGGGAUUAGCUAGUAGGUGGGGUAA